UAUAUUUGCACGCAGUUUACCAUACAUAAUAAUCAUUAAAUUAAUAUUUGCAUG
rnacentral:ncRNA from 1 species